rnacentral:misc_RNA from 1 species
UGUCUUGAGCACUUGACCAUCAUGUAUUGUCCAAGUCUUGUUUCUAUGCCGAAGGAUAUGCAUCACCUCUCUGCCCUUCGGAGUUUGACUAUCUUAAGCUGUCCUCAGAUUUUAUCUCUACCUGAAGAAUUAAAAUAUGUAACAGCACUGGAUUGCUUGGAAAUUGGGAGUUUUCCAGGGCUAAUGGAUUUGCCAACAUGGAUUGGAGACAUUUCUUCGCUCAGAUCUUUAAUAAUCUCUGACUGUCAAAAUCUAAAACAGUUGCCAGAAAGUCUGAAACUUCUCACUGCUCUGCAGCAUCUGUCUAUUCAAGCUUGUCCUAAGAUUGAAGAAAGGUGUAGGGAGGAAGUUGGUGAAGACUGGCGAAAAGUAGCCCAUGUUCCAUAUAAAUAUAUUGGAUCACCUGAUGUUGGGCAGUCCAGUGAAUCAGGCAGCUCCUCUGUUUGAAAUAUCCAUCUUGCUAUUCUUGAGUGACUAUAAUCUAUACAUUCAGUUCAUCUGAAGGAUUUUCACCAAAGCAAUCCUGCAAGAGUGGCUCAACCCUCAAAACUUAACAUUUCAAGUCGAACAUGAAUAUUUCAGAGUGAACUAUUUUAUUCUGUGUGUAGUUAAGAAUAAUGAAAGAAAAAAAAGAAGAGCAGCAGCAAAUAGGCUUCUGGAAACAGAGCAGCAAGGUUGGGAUAGCAGUAACAGUGAUCAGAUCCAAAAUCCACAAAUUUCCAUCCAGAUUCCUCCAUCUCUGUCUGUUCAUUCUUAUGAAAAAUCAAAGCUUUGGAAAAUAUUAUUUGCAGGCUCUAAUUCAUUAAGCUUUACAAAAAUUCCAGCAGGUGGAGGCUGCUGUGGAGCUCACCUAAGCCUCUUUCUCCAUCACUUGCUAGUCGAUUAGGUUACUUCUUUCUUGUUUUCCCUUUUCCAUUUGUGAUA